rnacentral:rRNA from 1 species
AAUGGGUCAGCGACUUAUAUUCUGUAGCAAGGUUAACCGAAUAGGGGAGCCGAAGGGAAACCGAGUCUUAACUGGGCGUUAAGUUGCAGGGUAUAGACCCGAAACCCGGUGAUCUAGCCAUGGGCAGGUUGAAGGUUGGGUAACACUAACUGGAGGACCGAACCGACUAAUGUUGAAAAAUUAGCGGAUGACUUGUGGCUGGGGGUGAAAGGCCAAUCAAACCGGGAGAUAGCUGGUUCUCCCCGAAAGCUAUUUAGGUAGCGCCUCGUGAAUUCAUCUCCGGGGGUAGAGCACUGUUUCGGCAAGGGGGUCAUCCCGACUUACCAACCCGAUGCAAACUGCGAAUACCGGAGAAUGUUAUCACGGGAGACACACGGCGGGUGCUAACGUCCGUCGUGAAGAGGGAAACAACCCAGACCGCCAGCUAAGGUCCCAAAGUCAUGGUUAAGUGGGAAACGAUGUGGGAAGGCCCAGACAGCCAGGAUGUUGGCUUAGAAGCAGCCAUCAUUUAAAGAAAGCGUAAUAGCUCACUGGUCGAGUCGGCCUGCGCGGAAGAUGUAACGGGGCUAAACCAUGCACCGAAGCUGCGGCAGCGACACUAUGUGUUGUUGGGUAGGGGAGCGUUCUGUAAGCCUGUGAAGGUGUACUGUGAGGUAUGCUGGAGGUAUCAGAAGUGCGAAUGCUGACAUAAGUAACGAUAAAGCGGGUGAAAAGCCCGCUCGCCGGAAGACCAAGGGUUCCUGUCCAACGUUAAUCGGGGCAGGGUGAGUCGACCCCUAAGGCGAGGCCGAAAGGCGUAGUCGAUGGGAAACAGGUUAAUAUUCCUGUACUUGGUGUUACUGCGAAGGGGGGACGGAGAAGGCUAUGUUGGCCGGGCG